GGGAAGGAGAGGGGGGAUGGUAUGGGGGGAUGGCAUGGUGGGGAUGUUGGGGGGAUGCACACACAGGGUAUCCGUUUUCUAAGAUACAACCGAGAACGACCAUAGGUACAUCCCCCCAGGUCUGGGAUUUCUGUAACACACUUGCAACUGGGGACCCAUGUGGUGAGCGCAGGUCCCCAGGUGGAUAGGGACGGCAUUGGGGGGUCAUCACACUAUUCACGCUAACAGACAAUGCAGAUUGUCUAAAAUAAAAUCAAAAAAUUUAAAAUACAUAGAAACACCAAAUGUGAGUCACGUUUACCUAUCUGACCUCAUUUGGUCCACCUGUGUCCUGGUCCCUCUGUGGCUGUGCUGCCUGCCCCAGGGUCCCUCACUGCUCCCCUAUGGCCCCCGGCCCUGAGCCCUGCUCUUCACAGGGUAGUUCUAUGUCACCCGGUGGGGUUCAGCUCACACGGUGACACCGGGAGGCCUGUCCGGCGCCCUCGUCAUCAACAGACCCCGAGGGGAUAAGGGGUCGUCCCAAUCACUUUACCAUGAGGCAGUAUGGUUUGCUGCCCUCCCUCCUCUUCUCCUCAGAGCCCCCGUGCUCCCCACCCAGAAACCGCUGGGCGUCCCCUGGACCCCGGAGUGUCCCCUGGGUCCGCCAGAACCCAGCUUGGCCGGCAGCCUCACCUGACCCCACAGUGGUCCCAGAACACCAUGUGGUUGCAGAAGGGAGAUCUGUUUGGUUUGGGGGUGGAGACCUGGGCCUCCUCCUUCAUUUCCUGUGGGGAGAACCCCGGGGUGGGGGGACAUUGUGAGGGACUCAGAACCCUAACUGUCACCAACUGCCAUCCUAGCAGGGAGCACUGCUGGCCACCAUGUGAGUGUGUCCCGCAGGCCCUCCUCGUUGCUUGUGAUUCCAGGAACAGGCACAGGUUCCUGGAUUUCACCCUCUCGAUGUCUAGUAGACGCAACCACACCUGUCCCUGCACCUGGGGAGGGACCCCUUAUAGCCCCGACAACGACCCAGCUGCAGGAGGAAGCAGUGCUGGUGCGGCAUGGCCCGGCCCGCUGUCCUCCACUCCCUGUCCCCACCCGAGAGCCCAUUCUGCUUCGUCCAGCGGGAACCUGGCACCAGCCACCUGCUCGGCCCCGCUCUGGGCUCCAGGCCUGUCCAGGGUGCCAGCUCCCAUCAGCCUGACGCUAACUCUGUCCACGAGGAGCUCAGAGCCCCGCAGUCCUGUCCUUCUCUGGAACCUGGGCCUACACUGCUCCAUGGACAGAGGAAAAGAGCUGGGGGCAGCAGGGAGGUGGGGGCCUUCGGGUCUGAGAGGCUCUGGGAGAUGUUGGGGCCACCCCGGGUCCCCAGGCAGGUGGCCUCAACCCUCCCCACAGCUUCCCCUCAGCUCCUGCCCAGGCCUCCACUAA
rnacentral:lncRNA from 1 species